GACGAUCGCUGGCGGCGUGCUUAACACAUGCAAGUCGAACGGAAAGGCCCUGCUUUUGUGGGGUGCUCGAGUGGCGAACGGGUGAGUAACACGUGAGUAACCUGCCCUUGACUUUGGGAUAACUUCAGGAAACUGGGGCUAAUACCGGAUAGGAGCUCCUGCUGCAUGGUGGGGGUUGGAAAGUUUCGGCGGUUGGGGAUGGACUCGCGGCGUAUCAGCUUGUUGGUGGGGUAGUGGCUUACCAAGGCUUUGACGGGUAGCCGGCCUGAGAGGGUGACCGGCCACAUUGGGACUGAGAUACGUCCCAGACUCCUACGGGAGGCAGCAGGGGGGAAGAUUGCACAAUGGGCGGAAGCCUGAUGCAGCAACGCCGCGUGCGGGAUGACGGCCUUCGGGUUGUAAACCGCUUUCGCCUGUAACGAAGCGUGAGGGACGGUAAUGAGUAAAGAAGCACCGGCUAACUACGUG
rnacentral:rRNA from 1 species